rnacentral:rRNA from 1 species
AACGAACGCUGGCGGCAGGCCUAACACAUGCAAGUCGAGCGAGCAUUUCGGUGCUAGCGGCGGACGGGUGAGUAACGCGUGGGAACGUGCCCUUUUCUGCGGAAUAGUCCUGGGAAACUGGGGGUAAUACCGCAUACGCUCUUUUGGGGAAAGAUUUAUCGGGGAAGGAUCGGCCCGCGUUGGAUUAGGUAGUUGGUGGGGUAAUGGCCCACCAAGCCGACGAUCCAUAGCUGGUUUGAGAGGAUGAUCAGCCACACUGGGACUGAGACACGGCCCAGACUCCUACGGGAGGCAGCAGUGGGGAAUCUUAGACAAUGGGGGCAACCCUGAUCUAGCCAUGCCGCGUGAGUGAUGAAGGCCUUAGGGUUGUAAAGCUCUUUCAGCUGGGAAGAUAAUGACGGUACCAGCAGAAGAAGCCCCGGCUAACUCCGUG